UACGGGGGGGGCAAGCGUUGUUCGGAAUUACUGGGCGUAAAGGGCUCGUAGGCGGCCAACUAAGUCAGACGUGAAAUCCCUCGGCUUAACCGGGGAACUGCGUCUGAUACUGGAUGGCUUGAGAUUGGGAGAGGGAUGCGGAAUUCCAGGUGUAGCGGUGAAAUGCGUAGAUAUCUGGAGGAACACCUAUUGCGAAGGCAGCCCGCUGGGACGUUACUGACGCUGAGACGCGAAAGCGUGGGGAGCAAACAGG
rnacentral:rRNA from 1 species